ACGGGGUAGGAAUACGUAGGUAACGUACCCUCGGGGCGAGGACAGCCACGGGAAACUGUGGGUAAUACUCGAUAAACUUCCCAAUCAUUAUCGGAGGGGAAGCAAUGGGUGUGACUCCACCUGAGGAGCGGCUUACGCAGUAUCAGCUAGUUGGUGAGGUAACGGCUCACCAAGGCUACGACGCUUAGGGGGUGUGAGAGCAUGGCCCCCACCACUGGCACUGAGACACUGGCCAGACACCUACGGGUGGCUGCAGUCGAGAAUCUUCGGCAAUGGACGCAAGUCUGACCGAGCGACGCCGCGUGUGGGAUGAAGGCCUUCGGGUUGUAAACCACUGUCAGAGGGGAUGAAGUGUACGAGAGUUAUCUCUUGUAUUUGACAGAGCCUCAGAGGAAGCACGGGCUAAGUUCGUGCCAGCAGCCGCGGUAAUACGAACUGUGCGAACGUUAUUCGGAAUCACUGGGCUUAAAGGGUGCGUAGGCGGUUAUCUAAGUCAGGUGUGAAAUCUCUCGGCUCAACCGGGAAACUGCGCUUGAAACUGGAUGACUGGAGUGAUGCAGGGGUGUGUGGAACUUCCGGU
rnacentral:rRNA from 1 species